rnacentral:rRNA from 1 species
UACAGAGGGUGCGAGCGUUAAUCGGAAUACUGGGCGUAAAGCGCACGUAGGUGGCGACGUAAGUCGGGUGUGAAAUCCCUGGGCUCAACCUGGGAACGGCAUUCGAGACUGUGUUGCUGGAGUACGGAAGAGGAGGGCGGAAUUCCCGGCGUAGCGGUGAAAUGCGUAGAUAUCGGGAGGAACAUCAGUGGCGAAGGCGGCCCUCUGGUCCAGUACUGACACAUCA